rnacentral:rRNA from 1 species
CAAUAGCGUAUAUUAACGUUGUUGCAGUUAAAAAGCUCGUAGUUGGAUUUCUGGAGGGAGCGUCGGCCCGUAUUUACGAGUGCGUGACGUCUCUGUCCAUCCUUGCGGGAAGGCACGGCAUUGAUUUGUUGUGUCGGAUCGCAUCAUUUACUGUGAAAAAAUUAGAGUGUUCAAAGCAGGCUUUCGCUUGAAUACAUUAGCAUGGAAUAAUAAGAUAGGACUUUGGUGCUAUUUUGUUGGUUGAGCCUAAAGUAAUGAUUAAUAGGGAUAGUUGGGGGCACCUGUAUUGCGUUGUCAGAGGUGAAAUUCUUGGAUUUACGCAAGACAAACAGCUGCGAAANCGNNNGCGAAGGAUGUUUUCAUNAG